ACUGUAGUUCAUUUUCCCCUAGCCUUCAUUUAAAAAAAAAAAAAAAAAGAAGAAAGAAAAAAAAGCUUUUUCUCAAGGAGUGUUAUUAUUUUAGAGAUUUUCAAGCAAGGAACGUUAGAAAGAAAUUAUUCAAAUUAAGUAAAUACUUACAAGACCCACCAUUAUUAUCUGUCUUUUGAAGAGAUGCCCAGGAAAGUCCCCUUUUACCAACUGGAAAAACACUUAGCUUCUAAGAUAAUUGUGAAACAGAAGGGUAUUUGAGUCUUCUGCGAGUUAUUGUGAUUACAGUUUCCCAUGGAUUUUCAUCCAGCUUAUCAAAAAUACUUCCUAUUCUGGGCUCUGGUUUGGGCUGUCUUCUUCCUGUCACUAGUGGGAGAAAUAAAUUCCCCAGUUCUCUUGGCUAGCGAGAGUUCAGAUCUCGUUCUGGCGUGCUGGCUUUGUAAAGCCUCGUGUCUGGACUCUCCGAGUGGCACCGGGGACCCGCGUGCGUGAAGAGGGCACGUUGGGUUGUGAGCCAGAGCUUGUGUACGUGCAUGAGGUCACGCAGCACUGCCCGCCGUGGCCUCCUGUGGGCCAGGGCCCCGUGCUAGGGACUGGUGACAUAGACACACAGCUUUUGCUUUUGCCUUGGGUUUCGUGAGUCAUGCAGACCAGACUCGUGAUUCCAGGAUAAGCCUCCCUUGACGGAAGUAGGGACAGGAAGCCUAGGGAGUGAUGGUUAAGAAGACUUGCAUUUGAGGAUUUCCACUUUUGACCAAGAUAGAGUAACAGGGACCGAUUUACUUUCCUGUCUGAAACAAUUAAAAGACGGACAAGAUAUCUGAAACCCUAGACUUUGGUCAGCGAAGCACAGUGAUACCUUAAGAGAUGGGCAGUGAAGGUUUUUUUCCCCUCCUGACACCAAAUAUGUGUUGUCUUUUCCAGCACCUCCUCUCCAGUUCUCUGGACACCAACUGGAUGUUGGUCAGCUCGGUUCUGACACUGUUUACCGGGAGUUGGGGCCAGAUCUCACGGUUACAGGGUUUCGUCCCACAAGGCUGCCCCCAUUUCGGACGCCAGUCUCAAGUCUGGGCCACCUAUACUUCUGACUGACCGGCUAGCAAGUGGGGAGUCCCAUGACCCCUUCCUCAGACCUCGUGCCUGCCUUCAUCCUAGCUCUGCUUUUCUCCUGCUGAGUGACACGGCUGUUGGCCUCGCCGCGCCGGUGCCUUCCCAGGACUCAGCGCGCGUCAACAGAGGGUCACAGCGACGUUGACACUUGUGCUGUUCAUCUCGCGUGUGCAGUGGCGUCUGAAUCUCGGGUCUCAGCAGGCUCCAUGACCACGAGGAGACAGACGUUGUCCUCACAUCCCUGGCUCCUGAAGGACCCGAUGGGUCCAGAUCCCAGCCCACUCUUGACCGUGUGUAGCUCAGGCGCCCAGGGCAGGACGGAUCCACAGCGGCCGGCACGGAUUUCUGCGCGUUCCACGCUCUUCCAGGUGUAGACGUCACUGGUUUUGGGUUGUGUUUUGUACUGGGUCCCAAACACAAGGGAGGUCGUGUGUGGGCAGUGGAGGGCUGGGGAUGAAUCCGGAUUGUCACGGGUAAGCUCUGGCCAGAGCAGUGAACCAUUUCUUCGGACAGAGGUUUAAAUCGGGGACUGGGAAAGUUCUUUCAGUUUCUGAGCCUCAGCUCUCUGUUUGACGAAGGAAGUCUCACCUACCUCAUGGGACACUUGUGAGGGUGUGCAGGGAGACUUCUGUCAUAUGCCUGGCACAAAGUGCUUCCUGGUGUGUGUUCAGCACGUGCCCCUUGCUGCCCCUUCCUUCCUCUGUGGUCAUCUGACCCCACGGGCCCGGGGACAAUCAGGAGACCCGUCAGGCUGCUAAAUAGUGCGACAGAGACCAGAGGACUGAACUUCUGGUGCUGAGAGUUUUCUCCAAAAAUCCAGAAAGUGUGGUCACGGUUUCCUAGCGGGAGGAAGUCAUGCGUGUGGUACUGAGCUGGGAAGGCGCCCUGUGGGCCGGCGGCAGGCCCGCGCAACUGCAGUGCAGAGCCGGGGGCGCGCCUCGGGAUCACAGAUGAGCCACCGGGGGCCGUGCGGAGAGGGGCCGCCGGGACCUGGCCCCUCUCUGGCUGUGCGUGGUGACGGGGUAGAGGGCUAGAGUGGGCACCGGGAGACCGUGGGAGGCUGGUCCACACCGUGGGGAGAAGGUGAGGGGGCCGUAUGUAGGGAAUUGGAGAAAGUGGCCAGUCUCCCCCUGACCGCGCUGGGGGCCCACUCACAACACCGGGCCGCCUUGCUGACCCCUGCUGGGCACGGGGCCCUGAGCUACGUCUCGCACGUGGACCUGGGCAAAGACCACCCCGAGGCUGCGCAUUCAGAACAGAGCGUGCUCGGGCAGGGGAGGCGCUCACCUCACCUGCGUCUCGGUAGAGACUCCAGGGCAGGUAGGGGAGUGGGGAGAGUGGAGGGCUUCGGUGUAGCCUGACCGGAGGCUGGCGGCCCGGGAAGCUGGAGGCGGGCUUCCUAGAAGCGGGACACCCCGCCCCCGGCUGGGGGAACAUGUUUGGCUACCUCCGGCUGGCGUCCUAAGUUGGACACAGGAACGAACACUUAGGGAAGCUGUCAGUUACAGAGCGAGUCCUGGCCACCCUGAGCCAGUUAUCGUGGGGGCUGUUGUCUGGCGUCCUGGGCCGGUUGCUGGAGAUGGAGGUCUGGCCUCCUGCGGGUCUGGCUUCUAGGCGGCAGGCUGGCGCCCCAGGCUGGUUCCUGUGGAUGAGGGGUUCCUCCUCUGGGCUGGGUGCUGCGGACUGUGGGUCAGAGCCCUGUUCUUGCACGUUAUCUGCCCUUGGCUUAUAUGGCAGUAUUUCAGGCUUUUCAUGAUUAUUAUAUUGGUUAUAGUGAUCUGUGAUCAGGGAUUACCACUCACUCAAAAGCUCAGAUGAUGGUUAGCAUUUUUAGCAAUAAUGUAUUUUUAAAUUAAGGCACACACUGUUUUUGCAGACCUGACGUCAUCACGUGUUUAAUAGAUUCCAGUGUAGCGUGACCGUAACUUUUCUAUGCACCGGGAAACCGAAAAAUGCGUUUGACUUGCUUAAUUGCGACGACACUUUAUCGUGGUGGUUUGGAACCAAGCCCACGAAAGGUCUGAGGUCUGCCCGUGCUCAGUCUCUCAGAAGAAUGAGCGUGACACAGUCUGUUCCUUCGGGUUCUCCACCGCCUCUUAUCUGGUGGCUCCGGGAACACAGUGGCCUCGUUCGUCAUCGUGUCUCUUUAUGGCAGGGUCACAGCCCACGUCAGAAUUCGAAAACUGGGGACUGUCAGUGGUCUGUAGCGGACGGAUACGGAUUGUUUGCCCUACAGUGUUUUAAAAAUUAAUUCCCACGUUAAAAAACAAACACUGACAGACUUGUCACAAAAAUCCAAAGACUGGGUCUGUGGCAGGAACAGAGGAAGUCCUGCUCCUCUCGGGGGACGCGCGUUCCCCACUUCACCCGCUGCGCCCGCGCUGGUCCACGUCUGUGCUUCUGCCUGGCGUCUGCGGGCGUCUGAUUCUGUCAGGAGCAGCAGGCUGUGCUCAGAUGAAAGCUGGGGAGGAGGAAGCCUGCACACCCGGAAUGAGGCACAGCCGCUCUGGUUUUAGGGGGUGGGCGGCCACCCCCCGCGGAGCCCCUGCAUCAGUUCCUUGGGGAUCCCUGGUGGGGGGAGUGGGGGGCCACCGCCGGUCCCAGUGGCAGAUGGCCCACCUGUUGUCAAGGGCGGGGACGAAGUGACAUGCGCACGAAUGGAAUCGGUAGUGAGGUUCUGCUGCAGGCGGCUUAGUUUUCUGUGAUGAGUCACGUAAUUCAGGAUGCUGCCCGGCUCAGCACCGUCCUGAGGAGGCGGCACUGUUCUGUUGCCGACCGCAGCACUGACCAACACACCCCUGGUGAGGGGGCUGGCCGAUAGGUGGGUUUACCGCACAGACGGACACGGUAGGCGCACGUCCCCGUCACCACCGGCCGCGGUGUCGUCGUGGGUCUUGGAACACUUGGUGCCUGUGGCCAAAACGUGGGAACUGUGCCAAACAGUGUAAAACAAGUUUUAUGUGCUGUUAUUUGAAGCGAGGCCCCAGAGCAGCCUUUCUAACUAAAAUAAUCUGUUGAUUUAAAAAACAAAACACGGCAAAAAGAGUCUCUGUGGACUUGCAGACAGAUCUCUGAGAUUUAAAAACUGUCCAUUACUAAAAGCCUCUCCACCCCGAGCCAUCAGAGCUCUGAGCGAAUCUACCUUGUCAGAGGGCACUGCCCCGUUUCUCUUUUUCGAUUCAGAAACCUGAGGGUGAAGGCAUCGAGUGAUACUGUUGAGCACUGAGGUAUUUUUUUACCCUUAAAUGGGAAAAGUCACACAGAAAAGUCAAAGAAUACAGUGAGGCCCGUCCAUCGCCCAGCCACGGUGG